UACGGAGGGUGCAAGCGUUGUUCGGAUUUACUGGGCGUAAAGCGCGCGCAGGUGGGUGUGCAAGUCGGAAGUGAAAUCUUGAGGCUCAACCUCGAGGCUGCUCCCGAAACUGCACGCCUAGGGACUGGUAGAGGCUGGUAGAAUUCCCGGUGUAGCGGUGGAAUGCGUAGAGAUCGGGAAGAACAUCAGUGGCGAAGGCGGCUUCCUGGACACUAACUGACGCUGAGACGCGAAAGCGUGGGGAGCAAACAGG
rnacentral:rRNA from 1 species